rnacentral:rRNA from 1 species
UACAGAGGGGGCAAGCGUUGUUCGGAAUUACUGGGCGUAAAGGGCGCGUAGGCGGCCUGUUAAGUCGAACGUGAAAUCCCCGGGCUCAACCCGGGAACUGCGUCCGAUACUGGCAGGCUUGAAUUCGGGAGAGGGAUGCGGAAUUCCAGGUGUAGCGGUGAAAUGCGCAGAUAUCAGGAGGAACACCGGUGGCGAAGGCGGUUCUCUGGGAAUAUUCUGACGCUGAGGAGCGAAAGUGUGGGGAGCGAACAGG